rnacentral:rRNA from 1 species
UACGGAGGAUGCAAGCGUUAUCCGGAAUCAUUGGGCGUAAAGCGUCCGUAGGUGGCUUUUCAAGUCUGCCGUCAAAGACCGGGGCUUAACCCCAGAAAGGCGGUGGAAACUGAAUAGCUAGAGUGCAGUAGGGGUAGAGGGAAUUCCCGGUGUAGCGGUGAAAUGCGUAGAGAUCGGGAAGAACACCCGUGGCGAAAGCGGGUCUCUGGGCCGAUACUGACGCUGAGGAGCGAAAGCGUGGGGAGCGAACAGG